rnacentral:rRNA from 1 species
UGCCAGCAGCCGCGGUAAUACGAGGGGAGCAAGCGUUGUCCGGAUUUAUUGGGCGUAAAGAGUUCGCAGGCUGAUUUAUAAGUCGAAAUUGAAAUCCAAUGGCUUAACCAUUGACACGGUUUCGAUACUGUAAAUCUUGAAUUAUGCAGAGGUAAGUGGAAUUCCUGGUGUAGCGAUGAAAUUCGUAGAUAUCAGGAGGAACACCUGUGGCGAAAGCGACUUCCUGGCCCGAAACUGACGCUCAUGUUCGAAAGCGUGGGGAGCAAACAGGAUUAGAUA